GGGGCUGACUUGGCUUUGACAGCGUGUAGAGGCGGUAGGCAAGCAUGCAGAGCGAUGAUGGCAAUGCUCUUUAAUAUCAGUCAUCGACAAAUCUAAAUGGCGAAAACUCUUACGCUCUCGCUGCCUAACUGAAGUAUAGUAGGUUGGCUCAAUCUCGGCCCAAGGGGCUGAGACGAGACAUCACCCGAUGGCCCUUUCUGCGAGGCUUAUCGACCCGGUGGUGCUAGCAUAUCGGAGAUAGGGUGCAACCCGCCUCGUGUUGUUCCCGAAAAUUAGAGGCUAAGUCUGCGGUUGGUGGUCCUGAUCCUGCCACAGGUCGAAAACCAAGUCAAGACUAAGCAUGUAGAAAACCUAUUGGUUCCGCGUUUGGACGAGGGUUCAAACCCCUCCAGCUCCACAA
rnacentral:tmRNA from 1 species